AUGUAGGGCAAUUUGUCUUUAAAUAGGGGUAAAUUACUCUUAAAGAAAAAAAAGGAAUCCUAGAUAGUUUUCCCCUUCAAGUCAAGUGUCUUGU
rnacentral:pre_miRNA from 1 species